UGGGACAGAAAGGAAAGUUAACAACUUUA
rnacentral:piRNA from 1 species